rnacentral:rRNA from 1 species
UACGUAGGGCGCAAGCGUUAUCCGGAAUCAUUGGGCGUAAAGAGCUCGUAGGCGGCCUGUUGCGUCCGCUGUGAAAUCCCGGGGCUUAACCCCGGGCGUGCAGUGGAUACGGGCUGGCUGGAGGCAGGCAGGGGAGAACGGAAUUCCCGGUGUAGCGGUGAAAUGCGCAGAUAUCGGGAGGAACACCGGUGGCGAAGGCGGCUCACUGGGGGUUUUCUGACGCUGAGGAACGAAAGCCAGGGGAGCGAACGGG